rnacentral:ncRNA from 1 species
UAGAAGUUUUAUUCUUGCUUGAAAAUUUAUUUAAUUGUUGUUUUACAUGUAAAUUUUAGUGUGAAAGAAAUUUUAUCUGAAUGGUAAAGUUUGUUGGAUUUAUGCGCAGUAUUUGUAUUUAUUUAUCAAAGUAAUUUGGAAUUAGUAAUUUGUGUUAGUACCGGCAAAAGUCGUGCCAGCUGCCGCGGUUAUACGAAGGGUGCAAAUAAAUAUUUUUGGUUGUGAGUUAAAUUGUAAUGUAUUAGAAGUUAAAAGAGAAUUUUUUGAGUGGAAUCUUUAAAUUUUUAUUAAUUUCUAUAUGGAUUGUUGAAGCUGAGAAAUUUGAAUGUGAAACUAGGAUUAGAUACCCUAUUAUUUUGGAUGUUAAUGUUUAAACUUGAGUAGUAAUAGUUAUGUUCUUGAAACUUAAAGAAUUUGGCGGUGUUUUAUACUUUUCAGAGGAACUUGUCCCGUAAUCGAUAAUCCACGUUGGACUUUACUUAAAUUGUUAUAGUAUGUAUACCGCCGUCGUCAGAAUGUCUUUGUAGGGGAUGAAUUUUCUUUAAUUUUAAUUAUAAUAGAUGUCAGGUCAAGGUGCAGCUUAUGUUUAAGAGGAGAUGAGUUACAAUAAAUUUAUUUAUACGGAUUAUUUUUUGCAAAGAGGGGUAUGAAGGUGGAUUUGAUUGUAAAUGAGAUAAAUUUAAUUAAGUUGAUUGAGGCUCUGAAACAUGCACACAUCGCCCGUCGCUCUCGUUAUUAAGGCGAGAUAAGUCGUAACAUAGUAGAUGUACCGGAAGGUGUAUCUAGAACGUU